rnacentral:lncRNA from 1 species
GUUUGGCGAGGACAACUUCUAAGAAAGCCUCUAUGUAACUCAUGAAAACAACACAUAACAGAAGCCUCGCCCUGCUCUAUUCUUAUUAUAAAAUAUCACAAACACUUGGACCAAGAGGAGAAGGAAAUCUGAAUUAGGCUAUGCAUGUUCAAUUAAAAGUUUAACUUUUACUGAAUAGAAUCAGAGUGAAUAGAAUUGAAACAAUGGAGAAGUGGUAUUUUGAAGAGAAAAAAUAUUUGUAUGUGUCUCCAAUUCUCGUCACCAUGGAACAAUGGAAAGAUCUGUUUGUAAUAAACGAAGAAAGAACCCGAGAAAAUGACAAAGCAAACUCCUUGCCAAAUAAUUCCUUUAAAAAAAAUCCUUGUUUCCGGAGUCAUUUGAGAGACACUUCAACCUCUUGCUUGUACGUCUAUAUAGCUCACUCUAAAAUCACGUCUUAUUUGCCGCAGUUGCUAUCCCAUUCAUUUGUAAUUGGUUUCAAAGCUCUGAGCAGAGCUUCCUUUUGUGCAGCUGUAGUUCCUCUUCUCCCCGGCUACUCUUCAUUCCUGGCAGUCCUAACAAUUGUUGCUCCUUCCUACUUCUGUAUGAAUUCUGUUAUAAGCUUGAUAAAUUCAUAAUAAAUCAUUUUUCUGAGUAUUUACUAGUAUGACACAUUUGUGCUUUAACU